UACGUAAGGGGCUAGACGUUGUCCGGAAUUAUUGGGCGUAAAGAGCUUGUAGGCGGUUUGUCGCGUCUGCUGUGAAAUUUCGGGGCUCAACCCCGAACUUGCAGUGGGUACGGGGCAGACUAGAGUGUGGUAGGGGAGACUGGAAUUCCUGGUGUAGCGGUGAAAUGCGCAGAUAUCAGGAGGAACACCGAUGGCGAAGGCAGGUCUCUGGGCCAUAACUGACGCUGAGAAGCGAAAGCCAGGGGAGCAAACGGG
rnacentral:rRNA from 1 species